rnacentral:rRNA from 1 species
CAGAUUGAACGCUGGCGGAAUGCUUUACACAUGCAAGUCGAACGGUAGAGGGGGCAACCCCUUGAGAGUGGCGAACGGGUGAGUAAUAUAUCGGAACGUGCCCAGUCGUGGGGGAUAACGUAGCGAAAGUUACGCUAAUACCGCAUACGAUCUAAGGAUGAAANCGGGGGAUCGCAAGACCUCGCGCGAUUGGAGCGGCCGAUAUCAGAUUAGGUAGUUGGUGAGGUAAAGGCUCACCAAGCCGACGAUCUGUAGCUGGUCUGAGAGGACGACCAGCCACACUGGGACUGAGACACGGCCCAGACUCCUACGGGAGGCAGCAGUGGGGAAUUUUGGACAAUGGGCGCAAGCCUGAUCCAGCAAUGCCGCGUGCAGGAUGAAGGCCUUCGGGUUGUAAACUGCUUUUGUACGGAACGAAACGGUGAGCUCUAAUACAGUUUGCUAAUGACGGUACCGUAAGAAUAAGCACCGGCUAACUACGUG